GUCCUAGUAGCGCAAUGGAUAGCGCGUUGGACUUCUAAUCCAAAGGUCGUAGGUUCAAAUUCUGCCUGGAAUU